rnacentral:rRNA from 1 species
CCAAUAGCGUAUAUUAAAGUUGUUGCAGUUAAAAAGCUCGUAGUUGAAUUUUAGGCCUGACCGGACGGUCCGUCUCUGGCGAGUACUGUUCUGCUGUCGGGUCUAUCCUUCUGGUGAGCCGGUAUGCCCUUUAUUGGGUGUGUCGGGGAACCAGGACCAUUACCUUGAAAAAAUUAGAGUGUUUAAAGCGGGCUUUUGCUUGAAUAGAUUAGCAUGGAAUAAUAGAAUAGGACGUUGGUUCUAUUUUGUUGGUCUAGGACCACCGUAAUGAUUAAUAGGGAUAGUUGGGGGCAUUAGUAUUCAAUUGUCAGAGGUGAAAUUCUUGGAUUUAUUGAAGACUAACUACUGCGAAAGCAUUUGCCAAGGAUGUUUUCAUUAAUCAAGAACGAAAGUUAAGGGAUCGAAGACGAUCAGAUACCGUCGUAGUCUUAACCAUAAACUAUGCCGACUAGGAAUCGGGCGACGUUAUUUUCAUGACUCGCUCGGCGCCUUAUG